UACAGAGGGGGCAAGCGUUGUUCGGAAUUACUGGGCGUAAAGCGCACGUAGGCGGAUAUUUAAGUCAGGGGUGAAAUCCCGGGGCUCAACCCCGGAACUGCCUUUGAUACUGGGUAUCUCGAGUCCGAGAGAGGUGAGUGGAAUUCCGAGUGUAGAGGUGAAAUUCGUAGAUAUUCGGAGGAACACCAGUGGCGAAGGCGGCUAUCUGGACCGAUACUGACGCUGAGACGCGAAAGCGUGGGGAGCAAACAGG
rnacentral:rRNA from 1 species